rnacentral:lncRNA from 1 species
GGUUAAAAUGCACUGUUGCUGUAAUUCAGACAAUAUCCACAAGGUGGGAUCAAGUUCAGCAUAAGGCAUUGCAUAGUGUAAUCACUUAUUUAGGUCUUUGCCGAAUCUACAGGCAUACUGUAGAUUGUCUUUUUUUUACAGAUAGUUGAGCACUGGGAUCUACACUCUGUUCUUCUGACUCUUCAAACAGAUGGCCACUUUCUGUGAGGCUGCAUGUCAUACAAACCUCUAGUUGUACAACCAGGUGAAGACAAUGUAAGGUCACAUGAUUAUAUGGAGAGGAUUGCUGCUUUCUGCAAGACACAGUCAGAUGGAGAUGUUGAAGAAAAAUGUCCAAAGAGAACUUCAUGGGGUGCAUCUGAAAGCACCUCUUCAAGAUCAUGGCAAUUUCAGGGAAGCAACUGGAAAGAGUAUGUUUCUCAAAAAUGUAUGUGAGGCAAAUGGAAAUCGUAAUAAGCAAUACAGGAGUGAUCCAGGUCCAGCAGUUUGUUCGUGCAGAGCCCUGAAAGACAAGGUGCCUCAGGCACAGUGA